AGAGUUUGAUCCUGGCUCAGGAUGAACGCUGGCGGCGUGCCUAACACAUGCAAGUCGAACGAAGCACCUUACUUGAUUCUUCGGAUGAAGGUCUGGUGACUGAGUGGCGGACGGGUGAGUAACGCGUGGGUAACCUGCCCUGUACAGGGGGAUAACAGCUGGAAACGGCUGCUAAUACCGCAUAAGCGCACGAGGAGACAUCUCCUUGUGUGAAAAACUCCGGUGGUACAGGAUGGGCCCGCGUCUGAUUAGCUGGUUGGCAGGGUAACGGCCUACCAAGGCAACGAUCAGUAGCCGGUCUGAGAGGAUGAACGGCCACAUUGGAACUGAGACACGGUCCAAACUCCUACGGGAGGCAGCAGUGGGGAAUAUUGCACAAUGGGGGAAACCCUGAUGCAGCGACGCCGCGUGAGUGAAGAAGUAUUUCGGUAUGUAAAGCUCUAUCAGCAGGGAAGAUAAUGACGGUACCUGACUAAGAAGCUCCGGCUAAAUACGUGCCAGCAGCCGCGGUAAUACGUAUGGAGCAAGCGUUAUCCGGAUUUACUGGGUGUAAAGGGUGCGUAGGUGGCAGUGCAAGUCAGAUGUGAAAGGCCGGGGCUCAACCCCGGAGCUGCAUUUGAAACUGCUCGGCUAGAGUACAGGAGAGGCAGGCGGAAUUCCUAGUGUAGCGGUGAAAUGCGUAGAUAUUAGGAGGAACACCAGUGGCGAAGGCGGCCUGCUGGACUGUUACUGACACUGAGGCACGAAAGCGUGGGGAGCAAACAGGAUUAGAUACCCUGGUAGUCCACGC
rnacentral:rRNA from 1 species